rnacentral:misc_RNA from 1 species
GUGAUGGAAGGACUGAGAUUACAACUGAUGACUUACUACAAGCUGCUCAAAUAGAAGAGAGAGGAAUGCUAGAUAGGAAGGAAAGAAGCCCUGAAACAUGGAAGCAAGUAGCUAUUAAUGAAGCAGCCAUNNNNNNNNNNNGUGAACUUUCCAGAUCUUAAAAAUAUUGAGUUUGUCACUAUUGCUCCUAGAGCUGGCAGGGAACUUGGUUAUGUUAGAAUGAAAAUGGAUCAUGUCAAAUUUAAGGAGGGAAUGCUUAGUCGGCAAUCUCUCCUGGAUCAUAUCACUGUUCAACUGGCACCUCGUGCAGCCGAUGAGCUUUGGCAUGGUGAGGGUCAGUUGAGUACGAUAUGGGCAGAAACAGCAGACAAUGCUAGGUCAGCAGCACGAACUUAUGUUCUUGGUGGGCUUUCUGAGAAACAUUAUGGCCUUUUUGACUUCUGGGUUGCAGAUCGAAUCAAUGAAAUUGAUUUAGAGGCACUUCAGAUUGUAAACUUGUGUUAUGAGCGUGCUAAAGAGAUUCUGCAGCAGAACCGAAAGCUGAUGGAUGCUGUUGUUGAUCAACUAGUUCAGAAGAAAAGUUUGUCCAAACAAGAAUUUUUUAACCUGGUUGAGUUGCAUGGUUCUAUCAAACCUGUGCCACCAAGUAUAUUUGAUAUCAGGGAUGCCAAACGUGCACAGUUUCAAGAAAUAAUGAUGAAUCGGAAGGAAGCCACUACUGUGAGCAAUUUAUAAGAGAGAUGCCAAGAGACCCCUUUGGAUUUGCAAUGGGGGGAUUUUGGGAAGUAGAUUUUAUUUUGGGUGGCGGUGCAAAUUGCAGAUUAGGGCUGUAUCUCUGCAAAAUCAACUUUGGAUGACAAAUGUAAAUGUACCAAAGUCAUCAAUUACUGGUAAACUGGUGUAAUGGGCGUGGCGAGAGAUCGGAAUUGCAUAAGGGAUUUUUGAAAUGCUCUGACCUUAGAUGGGGUAUUUUGACGACUCCAAGAACCAUUUCAGCUUGGCUCUAAUCCA